rnacentral:rRNA from 1 species
AUGAGGUAUUCCGAGUGCAGCCUUUGUGUUGGCUGUUCCCCUGUCUAAAAAACAUGGAAAUAAGGGGCGGGUAAGACUGGUGCCCGCCGCCGCGGUAAUACCCGCGGCCCGAGUGGUGGGCAAUUUUAUUGGGCCUAAAACGUUCGUAGCCGGGCUUGUUAAUCCUUUGGUAAAUCCGCCAACUUAACUGUUCGAAUUCCGGGGAGACUGCUUGACUUGGGAUCCGGAGAGGUCUGAGGUACUUCUGGGGUAGGGGUGAAAUCCCGUAAUCCCUGGGGGACCCCCCGUGGGGAAGGGGUCUGACUAGAAAGCGUUCCAGGGUGAGGGACAAAACCCUGGGGGGGCAACCCGAAUUUAUACCCCGGGUGUCCCCGGUGUAACACUACGGCUUGGUGUUUGGGGUCCUUUGUGGCGCCCAGUGCCCGAAGAAAUUGUUAAACCUGCCCCCCGGGGAAUACUCCCAAGUUAAACUUUAG